rnacentral:RNase_P_RNA from 1 species
GCAGUUGGCUGGACGGUCGCGGGCGGGAGACCGCUCGAGGAAAGUCCGAGCUCCGCAGAGCGGGGUGCUGGGUAACACCCAGGCGGGGUGACCCGAUGGAAAGUGCCACAGAGACAUACCACCGCGCACGGCAUGCCGGACGCGGUAAGGGUGAAAAGGUGGUGUAAGAGACCACCGGCACGCCGGGCAACCGGUGUGGCCAGGCAAACCCCACCCGGAGCAAGGCCAAACAGGAGUGGGCCGCGAGGCCGGAGGUAGCUCGCCUCCCAGACUCCAGGUAGGCCGCUAGAGCCGGCGGGAGACUGCCGGCCCAGAUAGAUGACCGUCACCCCUUCGGGGGUACAGAACUCGGCUUAU